AUUGAACGCUGGCGGCAGGCCUAACACAUGCAAGUCGAGCGAGAGGCGGACGGGUGAGUAAUAUCUGGGAAACAGCCUGCUGGAGAGGGAUAACUACUGGAAACGGUAGCUAAUACCGCAUACCAUCAGAUGUGCCCAGAGGGGCUUGGCGAGUAGGUGGGGGAACGGCGCACCUAGGCGACGAUCCCUAGAUGGUCUGAGAGGAUGACCAGCCACAUGGGAACUGUGACACGGUCAAGACUCCGACGGGAGGCAGCAGUGGGGAAUAUGGCACAAUGGGCGCAAGCCGGAUGCAGCCAUGCCGCGUGUGUGAAGAAGGCCGUCGGGUUGUAAAGCACUUUCAGCGGGGAGGCGUUACCCGCAGAAGAAGCACCGGCUAACGCCGUGCCAGCAGCCGCGGUAAUAC
rnacentral:rRNA from 1 species